AUCAGGGGUAAACCUGUGGAAKUCGAACGAGCGAACGGGGAGAUUCAUCGUUGUCCGUCGAGUCCGCGCGGGGGGCGUUGACGUUUUGCGCGUUCGCGCGCAAGGCGCUCGUCCUCCGGCGAGGCUCGCGGAGUGCGUGCACUCCUCCCUCAGUAAAACACCGCGACCCGUUGCGCCGUGAGUCGAACGCGCCGUGCGGUCGUCCCGCUUUGAUUCGUCAUGGUGGAACCGCGGCGUCGCGGCUUACGCGCGACGGUAAAGAACGAGGUUCGCGUCCGCCCCUAUUUUGCGGGCGUCCGCGUCGCGGCGGCGGCUCUCCUCGGCCGGUCUCGGCGCGCAAGCGUCGCGGCCGACGAGCGAGCGUCGCGUCCGCCGCGUCGGCUCGGACGGGACGCGUCCC
rnacentral:rRNA from 1 species